CAUGAAGUCACUUACAUUCGGCAAAGACUUUCUGUUUCCUGUUACAUGCAUGAACCGGCCAGUGCUCAUGAUAUUUGUUACAGUAGCGCCGAGUGUGAAAAGUGGUCUGUGGAAGGUUCCCUUUUCAGAACGGCAGCAACCUUAAAUUAGUAUCUUCAUGACCAUGGGUUUGCCGUAAAUGCCACCGGAACCUGCCGUUCUGAAAGAGGAACCUUCCACCGACCACUUUUCGCACUCGGCAUCACCCGUCUGUUAUGGACGACUACAACCUUCUCCAGGAGCUUGGGUCCAAGUACCAACUAGAUUCAGUUGGUACUUCUCUCCCAGCUGUUGUCCCUUCCCAGCCAGAGAGCUAACAUGCCAGGGUCCAGGGUCCAGGGGUCAGCACACUUAGGCCCACGUUUUUGCCUGCUGCACGGUUCCCAAUGCGCCCAACCACAAAGCCUACCCCUGUGAGUGGUGGGCCGACGUGGGGGCGGCUCCAUAAAGACUGUGUCCAAACCCAAUGUGUGUCAAUGGCCGGCCACCAGAAGCUUGACGGUGAGCUCCCCUUUGUGGCUGAUUAUAACAGUCAACCACCAUUUUCUUCUAAUUAAACUGACUAGCUGUCCUGUCCUCAUAGUGGGGUUGCCAGGUUUAAACACUGUCCUAGCUCUACACAAAAUGACCCUUAUGUGACUUGGUGACUAGCUUACUCACUAAAAAGAAACCACACAGGUAAAGUGGGUUACCGGUUAUCUUCCCUGCCUCUAACAGACAGGGAACAGGCUAUCCUGUGCCAUCCUAUUACAUUUUUAAAAGUAUUUAAAGUACGGCCUGUUUUUUACAUGAGGGUGAACUUAUCUGUUCGGAAAAUGAAGGGAACAAACCCAUCCCUCAUUUGACAACUGCCUUCUUAAUGAGGUUUGAAUAUGGCCAAAUGUUUUAAUUGAUUUUUUGUUGAAUCACAGUGAAUGAUAAGCCCUAAGUAUGUAUGCGUGUGCAAGUGUUGUGUGUUUGUGAGAUUGUCUUUGUUUUAUGUAAGAGAUGGUUGUAGAUAGACCCAGCAAAUCAACAGAUUAGCAUGCAGACAUAGGGUCUUCACUCUCUUCAACUUGAAUUUACUAAAAUAUGAGAAUAUACAAGAAAAAACAUACUGAAUUUACAGAAAAUAAGUGUUACAGUGUUAAGCUUUAAAAAUCCACUAAGAAAAAAAGAUUGAGCUCUUUUAAUCCAUUUUUCUGAUUGUUUUUUCUACUUGGUUCUUACUAAUGAUGAUUUGGUAGUCGCUGUCGAUGCUGUUCGUCUAAUGUAAAGAAAAUGACAAUGAAGAAGAGGGGCGAGAGAGCUGCUGUGAAACCGCUCUUCACCUCGACGUCGACCUUCUAGGUUUUUUCAGUUGUAUCUUAAUGUCCCCUGUCACUCACACUGCGC
ensembl:lncRNA